UGGAGAGUUUGAUCCUGGCUCAGGACGAACGCUGGCGGCGUGCUUAACACAUGCAAGUCGAACGCUGAAGCGCCCAGCUUGCUGGGUGUGGAUGAGUGGCGAACGGGUGAGUAACACGUGAGUAACCUGCCCCUGACUUCGGGAUAAGCCUGGGAAACUGGGUCUAAUACCGGAUAUGACUACUGGCCGCAUGGUCUGGUGGUGGAAAGGGUUUUACUGGUUGGGGAUGGACUCGCGGCCUAUCAGUUUGUUGGUGGGGUAGUGGCCUACCAAGACGACGACGGGUAGCCGGCCUGAGAGGGCGACCGGCCACACUGGGACUGAGACACGGCCCAGACUCCUACGGGAGGCAGCAGUGGGGAAUAUUGCACAAUGGGGGGAACCCUGAUGCCAGCGACGCCGCGGUACGGGAUGACGGCCUUCGGGUUGUAAACCGCUUUCAGUAGGGAAGAAGCGAAAGUGACGGUACCUGCAGUUGAGAGUU
rnacentral:rRNA from 1 species